rnacentral:rRNA from 1 species
GAUGAACGCUGGCGGCGUGCCUAAUACAUGCGAGUCGAGCGAACAGACGAGGAGCUUGCUCCUCUGACGUUAGCGGCGGACGGGUGAGUAACACGUGGAUAACCUACCUAUAAGACUGGGAUAACUUCGGGAAACCGGAGCUAAUACCGGAUAAUAUAUUGAACCGCAUGGUUCAAUAGUGAAAGACGGUUUUGCUGUCACUUAUAGAUGGAUCCGCGCCGCAUUAGCUAGUUGGUAGGUAACGGCUUACCAAGGCAACGAUGCGUAGCCGACCUGAGAGGGUGAUCGGCCACACUGGAACUGAGACACGGUCCAGACUCCUACGGGAGGCAGCAGUAGGGAAUCUUCCGCAAUGGGCGAAAGCCUGACGGAGCAACGCCGCGUGAGUGAUGAAGGUCUUCGGAUCGUAAAACUCUGUUAUUAGGGAAGAACAAAUGUGUAAGUAACUAUGCACGUCUUGACGGUACCUAAUCAGAAAGCCACGGCUAACUACGUG